AUUGUAAGCAAGCGCUGGUGUUAAGGUAAGCGGGAAUAAAUACUUAGGUUAGCCGAAUGCCUAGCGUAGCCGUCUAAGUUGUGAAGCGCAUGAAUGGAUUAGCGAGCUACCCCACAGUCCCUUUCUACUAUCUAGCGAAACCACAGCCAAGGG
rnacentral:rRNA from 14 species